rnacentral:rRNA from 1 species
UUAAGUGAAUAAGGGCGCACGGUGGAUGCCUUGGCACUAGGAGCCGAUGAAGGACGGGACUAACACCGAUAUGCUUUGGGGAGCUGUAAGUAAGCUAUGAUCCAGAGAUUUCCGAAUGGGGGAACCCAAUAUCUUUUAUAGGAUAUUACUUUUCAGUGAAUACAUAGCUGAUUAGAGGUAGACGCAGAGAACUGAAACAUCUUAGUACCUGCAGGAAGAGAAAGAAAAUUCGAUUCCCUGAGUAGCGGCGAGCGAAACGGGAAGAGCCCAAACCAACAAGCUUGCUUGUUGGGGUUGUAGGACUCCGAUAUGGUAGUCUGUUAGUAUAGUUGAAGGAUUUGGAAAAUUCCGCUAAAGAGGGUGAAAGCCCCGUAGACGAAAUGCUGACAACACCUAGGAGGAUCCUGAGUACGGCGGAACACGAGAAAUUCCGUCGGAAUCCGCGGGGACCAUCCCGCAAGGCUAAAUACUCCCUAGUGACCGAUAGUGAACCAGUACCGUGAGGGAAAGGUGAAAAGCACCCCGGAAGGGGAGUGAAAUAGAUCCUGAAACCGUGUGCCUACAACAAGUCAAAGCUCGUUAAUGAGUGAUGGCGUGCCUUUUGUAGAAUGAACCGGCGAGUUACGAUUGCAUGCGAGGUUAAGUCGAAGAGACGGAGCCGCAGCGAAAGCGAGUCUGAAUAGGGCGAAUGAGUAUGUAGUCGUAGACCCGAAACCAUGUGAUCUACCCAUGUCCAGGUUGAAGGUGCGGUAAAACGCACUGGAGGACCGAACCCACGUACGUUGAAAAGUGCGGGGAUGAGGUGUGGGUAGCGGAGAAAUUCCAAACGAACUUGGAGAUAGCUGGUUCUCUCCGAAAUAGCUUUAGGGCUAGCCUCGGAAUUGAGAAUGAUGGAGGUAGAGCACUGUUUGGACUAGGGGCCCAUCUCGGGUUACCGAAUUCAGAUAAACUCCGAAUGCCAUUCAUUUAUAUCCGGGAGUCAGACUGCGAGUGAUAAGAUCCGUAGUCGAAAGGGAAACAGCCCAGACCACCAGCUAAGGUCCCAAAAUAUAUGUUAAGUGGAAAAGGAUGUGGGGUUGCACAGACAACUAGGAUGUUGGCUUAGAAGCAGCCACCAUUUAAAGAGUGCGUAAUAGCUCACUAGUCGAGUGACCCUGCGCCGAAAAUGUACCGGGGCUAAACAUAUUACCGAAGCUGUGGACUACACCAUUAGGUGUAGUGGUAGGAGAGCGUUCUAAGGGCGUUGAAGGUCGAUCGUGAGGACGGCUGGAGCGCUUAGAAGUGAGAAUGCCGGUAUGAGUAGCGAAAGACAGGUGAGAAUCCUGUCCACCGUAUGACUAAGGUUUCCUGGGGAAGGCUCGUCCGCCCAGGGUUAGUCGGGACCUAAGCUGAGGCCGAUAGGCGUAGGCGAUGGACAACAGGUUGAUAUUCCUGUACCAGUUGUUUUUGUUUGAGCAAUGGAGGGACGCAGUAGGCUAAGGAAUGCAUGCGAUUGGAAGUGCAUGUCCAAGCAAUGAGUCUUGAGUAGAGUUAAAUGCUUUACUCUCUAAGGACAAGUUGUGACGGGGAGCGAAAUAAUAGUAGCGAAGUUCCUGAUGUCACACUGCCAAGAAAAGCUUCUAGUGAGAAAACAACUGCCCGUACCGUAAACCGACACAGGUAGUCGAGGAGAGUAUCCUAAGGUGAGCGAGCGAACUCUCGUUAAGGAACUCGGCAAAAUGACCCCGUAACUUCGGGAGAAGGGGUGCUGACUUCGGUCAGCCGCAGUGAAUAGGCCCAAGCGACUGUUUAUCAAAAACACAGGUCUCUGCAAAAUCGUAAGAUGAAGUAUAGGGGCUGACGCCUGCCCGGUGCUGGAAGGUUAAGAGGAUGGGUUAGCUUCGGCGAAGCUCAGAAUUGAAGCCCCAGUAAACGGCGGCCGUAACUAUAACGGUCCUAAGGUAGCGAAAUUCCUUGUCGGGUAAGUUCCGACCCGCACGAAAGGCGUAACGAUUUGGGCACUGUCUCAACGAGAGACUCGGUGAAAUUUUAGUACCUGUGAAGAUGCAGGUUACCCGCGACAGGACGGAAAGACCCCAUGGAGCUUUACUGUAGUUUGAUAUUGAGUGUUUGUACCACAUGUACAGGAUAGGUAGGAGCCGAUGAGACCGGAACGCUAGUUUCGGAGGAGGCGCUGGUGGGAUACUACCCUUGUGUUAUGAACCCUCUAACCCGCACCACUAAUCGUGGUGGGAGACAGUGUCAGAUGGGCAGUUUGACUGGGGCGGUCGCCUCCUAAAAGGUAACGGAGGCGCCCAAAGGUUCCCUCAGAAUGGUUGGAAAUCAUUCGAAGAGUGUAAAGGCAGAAGGGAGCUUGACUGCGAGACCUACAAGUCGAGCAGGGACGAAAGUCGGGCUUAGUGAUCCGGUGGUUCCGCAUGGAAGGGCCAUCGCUCAACGGAUAAAAGCUACCCUGGGGAUAACAGGCUUAUCUCCCCCAAGAGUCCACAUCGACGGGGAGGUUUGGCACCUCGAUGUCGGCUCGUCGCAUCCUGGGGCUGUAGUCGGUCCCAAGGGUUGGGCUGUUCGCCCAUUAAAGCGGCACGCGAGCUGGGUUCAGAACGUCGUGAGACAGUUCGGUCCCUAUCCGUCGCGGGCGUUGGAAAUUUGAGAGGAGCUGUCCUUAGUACGAGAGGACCGGGAUGGACUUACCGCUGGUGUACCAGUUGUUCUGCCAAGGGCAUUGCUGGGUAGCUAUGUAGGGAAGGGAUAAACGCUGAAAGCAUCUAAGUGUGAAGCCCACCUCAAGAUGAGAUUUCCCAUUUCUUUAAGAAAGUAAGACCCCUGAGAGAUGAUCAGGUAGAUAGGUUGGAAGUGGAAGGCUAGUGAUAGUUGGAGCGGACCAAUACUAAUCGGUCGAGGACUUAACCAA